UCUGGUUGAUCCUGCCAGCGGGCACCGCUAUUGGAAUACGAUUAAGCCAUGCGAGUCGAGAGGGUUCGGCCCUCGGCGCACCGCUCAGUAACACGCGGAUAAUCUAACCUUGAGUCCGGGAUAAUCUCGCGAAAGUGAGCAUAAUACCGGAUAGAUCUCCUAUGUUGGAAUACUUGGAGGUCGAAAGCUGAGACGCUCAAGGAUGAGUCUGCGGCCUACCAGGCAGUAGUGGGGGUAACGGCCCCACUAACCUAUUACGGGUACGGGUCUUGGGAGAGAUUGCCCGGAGAUGGGUUCUGAGACAUGAACCCAGGCCCUACGGGGCGCAGCAGGCGCGAAAACUUCGCACUGUGGGAAACCACGACGAGGGAAUUCCAAGUGCUUAUACUUUGUAUAAGCUGUUUAUCUGUCUAAAAAACAGGUAGAGUAAGGGCUGGGUAAGGCGGGUGCCAGCCGCCGCGGUAAUACCCGCAGCCCAAGUGGUGCUCUUUAUUAUUGAGUCUAAAACGUCCGUAGCCGGCUUGGUAAAUUCUUGGGGAAAUCGAACGGCUUAACUGUUCGAAGUCCGGGGAGACUGCCAGGCUUGGGAUCGGGGGAGGUUUGAGGUACUUUGAGGGUAGGGGUGAAAUCCUGUAAUCCUUAAAGGACCACCAGUGGCGAAGGCGUCAAACCACAACGAAUCCGACGGUAAGGGACGAAGCCCUGGGGCACAAACGGGAUUAGAUACCCCGGUAGUCCAGGGUGUAAACGCUGCGGACUUGGUGUCGGGAAGCCUUCGAGGUUGCCCGGUGCCGGAGAGAAGUUGUUAAGUCCGCUACUUGGGGAGUACGGUCGCAAGACUGAAACUUAAAGGAAUUGGCGGGGGAGCACCGCAACGGGAGGAGCGUGCGGUUUAAUUGGAUUCAACGCCGGAAACCUCACUGGGAGCGACGCUUACAUGAAGCUCAAGCUGAUGACUUUAGCUAAUUUUGCGAGAGGCGGUGCAUGGCCGUCGUCAGUUCGUACCGCAAGGCGUUCUGUUAAGUCAGAUAACGAACAAGACCCUCGCUGUCAGUUGCCAACUAUCAGUCCGCUGGUAGUGCACACUGAUGGGACCGCUGGUGUUAAAUCAGAGGAAGGAGAGGGCAACGAUAGGUCCGUACGCCCCGAAUCUCCCAGGCGACACGCGCGCUACAAAGACCAGGACAAUGGGUCCCGACCCCGAGAGGGGAAGGUAAUCUUGAAACCUGGCCAUAGUUCGGAUUAAGGGCUGCAACCCACCCUCAUGAAGAUGGAUUCCGUAGUAAUCGUGUAUCAACAUUCCACGGUGAAUAUGCCCCUGCCCCUUGCACACACCGCCCGUCAAACCAUCUGAGUCGGGUCUGGGUGAGGGUAUCCUUUUUUGGGGUAUUCGAACCUGGAUUCGGCAAGGAGGGUUAAGUCGUAACAAGGUA
rnacentral:rRNA from 1 species